rnacentral:rRNA from 1 species
GAUGAACGCUAGCGGCAGGCCUAAUACAUGCAAGUCGAGGGGCAGCGGGUCCAGCAAUGGAUGCCGGCGACCGGCGCACGGGUGCGUAACACGUAUGAAACCUACCCAUAACUUGGGAAU